rnacentral:rRNA from 1 species
UCGCUGAGGAAUCUAACUUCGGUAGAGCCGUGUUUGAACUAGGAAGCUACUAAUCUAGCUUAGUCUACUUUUAGAUUAGACCUCAAAUCAGAUAGGAUUACCCGCUGAACUUAAGCAUAUCAAUAAGCGGAGGAAAAGAAACUAACAAGGAUUCCCCUAGUAGCGGCGAGCGAAGCGGGAAGAGCUCAAAUUUAUAAUCUGGCACUUUCAGUGUCCGAGUUGUAAUCUCUAGAAGUGUUUUCCGCAUUGGACCGCACACAAGUCUGUUGGAAUACAGCGGCACAGUGGUGAGACCCCCGUAUACGGUGCGGAUGCCCAAUGCUUUGUGAUACACUUUCGAAGAGUCGAGUUGUUUGGGAAUGCAGCUCAAAUUGGGUGGUAAAUUCCAUCUAAAGCUAAAUAUUGGCGAGAGACCGAUAGCGAACAAGUACCGUGAGGGAAAGAUGAAAAGCACUUUGGAAAGAGAGUUAACAGUACGUGAAAUUGUUGGAAGGGAAACGCUUGAAGUCAGACUUGCUAUUCGGGGCUUGCUCCGAGUUGCAGGCCAGCAUCAGUUUUCUGGGGUGGAAAAUCACGGUUAGAAGGUAGCAACUUCGGUUGUGUUAUAGCUUUCCGUUGGAUACAUCCUGGGGGACUGAGGAACGCAGUGUGCUUUUAGCAGGAGCUUCGGCUUCAUCACACUUAGGAUGCUGGUGGAAUGGCUUUAAACGACCCGUCUUGAAACACGGACCAAGGAGUCUAACAUGCUUGCGAGUAUUUGGGUGUCAAACCCGGA